rnacentral:rRNA from 1 species
UACGUAGGGCGCGAGCGUUGUCCGGAAUUAUUGGGCGUAAAGAGCUCGUAGGCGGCUUGUCGCGUCUGCUGUGAAAACGCGGGGCUUAACUCCGCGCGUGCAGUGGGUACGGGCAGGCUAGAGUGUGGUAGGGGUGAUUGGAAUUCCUGGUGUAGCGGUGGAAUGCGCAGAUAUCAGGAGGAACACCGAUGGCGAAGGCAGGUCACUGGGCCAUUACUGACGCUGAGGAGCGAAAGCAUGGGGAGCGAACAGGAUUAGAUACCCUGGUAGUCCAUGCCGUAAACGUUGGGCACUAGGUGUGGGGCCUGUUUCCACGGGUUCUGCGCCGUAGCUAACGCAUUAAGUGCCCCGCCUGGGGAGUACGGCCGCAAGGCUAAA